rnacentral:rRNA from 1 species
GCUGGCGCGUCNUAGCGCGGUGGUCCCACCUGACCCCAUGCCGAACUCAGAAGUGAAACGCCGUAGCGCCGAUGGUAGUGUGGGGUCUCCCCAUGCGAGAGUAGGGAACUGCCAGGC